AAUACUUUUGAACAAGUUCUAAUAUAUAGUCCUAAUUUUAAAAGGGCUUAAAGUUUAUUGAAAACGGCAGUAAUUUACCAAAAUAUCAAAAUUUAUUGCAUCAAGUUGACUCUCUGUAGAUUUAAAUUUAAAUUUAAAAUAUGUUUGAUAAUAGAUAGUGAUCAAUCCUGAAGCCUAAUGUAUUUCUUUUCUUUUCUUUUUUUGGACAAAACCCAAAGACACAAGGAACUGCUUAAUUUUUUGUUCUUUUUUAAGUAAUGAGUGUUUUAUUUCAAAGAAAAUAAAUGAGUGACAUUUUAUAAUUAUAGGAUAUGUCUGAUGGUGAAGGAUUUGACUAGAGGAUUAUCCAUCAUCAAUCAGAGAGACGACUCAGAAGAUGAAGACAGUGGUUCCUCUGAAAAUGAGGGCUAGCUCAACACCAGUAGAAAUGAUGGUUUGGCCAUUCAUCUGGUAAUGAGGAGGAAAGUGACUGUUCUGGACCUUGUGAAGAAGUCGAGGAAAGUGAUUCAUCUGAAGAUGUGGUUGGUCCUCGAAAUACAAUUGGUGCUGUUCCCUUGGAGUGGCAUCAGGAUUAGAAACAUAUUGGUUAUGAUCUUACAGGGAAGAAAAGAAGGAAAAAGAAGACAAAUUGCAAUCCUUUCUUGCUAGCGCUGAUGAUUCCAAAAAUUGGCACAAUUUUUUUGAUGAAUACAAUGAUGAGGAAGUAGAACUGACAAAAGUGGAGGGUCGUGCAAUAGAGGAGGCUGUUGGAAAUGAACAGAAGAGGUGUCUCCGGCAUCAGAGGAGUCCGAGCCUGUCAGCCUGAUGCUUUUGAGAGUUAUCAGGAUCAUUUCAACAGUCUUGAAUGAAAGGGAGGACUUCAGGAAGAAGUGCAAGGUGGUGGAGCAAAUAAAGGCCCCUGCUGAAGGAUGAUGAGGAGGCCAGGAUGUACAUGGGAGUUAAUGGAAAUUAGGAGACAAUGCUAGCAUCAGGGGUAAUUUCGUUGCUGUAGGAAAUGAUCUCCUAUCCCGGUUCUUAUGGACCUGCGACAGCCCUUUAUCUGAAUCU